AUAAAAUUAAUUUUGAUGGUCGCAAAACUUCCCGGAACAGAUAAACAGGGCAGAAGGGAACGAGGGAAGCCUCGGGAAAUGGCCUCCACUAUUCAGCCACCAAUUAACGGUCGCUUUCUAUCUUCUCCUUCCUCAAGCUUCCCUGCUCAACAUCGCUCUGCUACUAUCCUCAAGUGGCAAUGGAGAAGCGACCAAGAUGCGAGUUUAGUUUCCAGCAGAACCAGGGGUCAAGCAUUUCGAAUAUUGGCAAAUUCCACUGUUUCUUCAGGGAAAGAUGGUUCAAAAAAUGAUGUUAUCAUGGUUGAUCCUGUGGAAGCCAAGCGAUUGGCUGCCAAACAAAUGGAAAAAAUUAAAGCUAGGGAGAAGCUCAAGAGGAGACGUCAAAUUGAGGCGAUCAAUGGCGCAUGGGCGAUGAUUGGUCUCACAGCAGGCUUGGUUGUUGAGGGUAAAACCGGAAAAGUCAUUCUAAUGCAGUUGGCAGAUUACUUGAGUGCAAUUAUUCAUGUUUUUGUGCGGUAGACCCUUCCAAGAGCCGAGAGGUGUUUGGGUACAUAUUCAAGAACGACAGAUUCUUUCGCACAUUCUUUGCCGUCGAUAUGUGCAAGCUAUACCAUGUAGGUAAGUUUGUAGGAUAGUGCAUGUGAGCUUCUAAAUCUUCUAUUUGGAGUCAAGGUAUCAGAAGGGACUUGCUGUCAUAUGAUUCCUCAAUGCAGGAUAAAUAUGUGCUGGUGAAGGAAACUCGUAUCAAUACAAUUCAUGUGUAAGUUCAUGAUGUUUCUAGUGUUACUGCAAAACUCAACUUUAGCACUCAUUACAAGAAAACGAACAAAAAAUUUCAACUGAAGCAUCUGCUGGAAAAAAAUGUUUGUUAUUUAUUUUUAUUUUUAUUUUUUUAUUGUCCAUAGAUGUCUUUGUAUUGGAAGAUUUUUUUUUUUUUUUUUUUUUGGAGACACGGUCGAACACCACACGAGACAUUGAAUUCUCGUUAUUGGAAUUGAAUCUCUUUAAUA